AGAGUUUGAUCAUGGCUCAGAAUGAACGCUGGCGGCAUGCCUAACACAUGCAAGUCGAACGAAGGCUUCGGCCUUAGUGGCGCACGGGUGCGUAACGCGUGGGAAUCUGCCCUCAGGUUCGGAAUAGCAGCGAGAAAUUGCUGCUAAUACCGGAUGAUAUCGCGAGAUCAAAGAUUUAUCGCCUGAGGAUGAGCCCGCGUAGGAUUAGCUAGUUGGUGUGGUAAAGGCGCACCAAGGCGACGAUCCCUAGCUGGUCUGAGAGGAUGAUCAGCCACACUGGGACUGAGACACGGCCCAGACUCCUACGGGAGGCAGCAGUGGGGAAUAUUGGACAAUGGGCGAAAGCCUGAUCCAGCAAUGCCGCGUGAGUGAUGAAGGCCUUAGGGUUGUAAAGCUCUUUUACCCGGGAUGAUAAUGACAGUACCGGGAGAAUAAGCUCCGGCUAACUCCGUGCCAGCAGCCGCGGUAAU
rnacentral:rRNA from 1 species